rfam:Stegodyphus mimosarum contig116366, whole genome shotgun sequence.
GCCUUCGUGGUGUAGUGAUCAGCACACUAGGCACGUAUUCCAGAGGACCGUGGUUCGAGUUCCGGUGAAGGCA